rnacentral:lncRNA from 1 species
UUUUUUUAUUUUUUUUAAAUUUACUGUGAGGCUUACUGGUUUAUGUGAGCAUUGUUUCUGGGAUGAUAUUUGUUGGGUUCAGAUGUGGACAUGUUAGUGUUGCCUGCUAGGCCCCAACUCUCACCAUAGAAAGAGAAGUGGUAUUCCUACUUCAGGACUGUUGGUGUUGCAUUAAUUAUCUGUGGAAACACACGGUGCAGUCCAGGGUAUGUUGUGAGAGUCACAGAAUUAACUGUUGUCACCGCUCUCCCUGUUACCAACAGAGCGACUUGGAGCAUUGGUCUUGGUUGCCAGUGUGUAUUCUUUUCCUUUUCUCCAUUUGUCCUGAACCUUGUGUGUAUGGUACUUGAGAUGUUAAUCACUGCAAAUGAUGCUGUAUUUUCUUACUUCCUAGCUCAUGCUUGAUACGUGGAAUGAGUCGAUUUUUUCGAAUAUAAAGAACAGACUCCAGGAUAGUGCAAUGAAGCUGGUGCAUGCUGAGAGAUUAGGGGAAGCUUUUGAUUCCCAGCUGGUCAUAGGAGUGCGAGAGUCCUAUGUUAAUCUUUGUUCUAAUCCUGAGGACAAGCUUCAGAUCUAUAGGGAUAAUUUUGAGAAGGCAUAUUUGGACUCAACAGAGAGAUUUUAUAGAACUCAGGCACCCUCAUAUUUACAGCAAAAUGGUGUACAGAAUUACAUGAAAUAU